rnacentral:rRNA from 1 species
GAUGAACGCUGGCGGCGUGCCUAAUACAUGCCAGUCGAGCGAACAGAUGAGGAGCUUGCUCCUCUGACGUUAGCGGCGGACGGGUGAGUAACACGUGGAUAACCUACCUAUAAGACUGGGAUAACUUCGGGAAACCGGAGCUAAUACCGGAUAAUAUAUUGAACCGCAUGGUUCAAUAGUGAAAGACGGUUUUGCUGUCACUUAUAGAUGGAUCCGCGCCGCAUUAGCUAGUUGGUAAGGUAACGGCUUACCAAGGCAACGAUGCGUAGCCGACCUGAGAGGGGGAGAGGAAAAAGUGGAAAGGAGAACAGGUACAGAGGAAGAAGGGAGGAACAAGGAGGGAAGAGGAAGAAAGGGGCGAAAGACGGAAGGAGAAAAGAAGAGGGAAGAAGAAAGGGGUGAGGAUAGAAAAACGACGUGAAGAGGGAAGAAAAAAAGGGUAAGGAAAAAGGCAAGCAGGGACGGGAGAUAAGAAGCAAGAAAAGGAAAACUAAGAG